ensembl:misc_RNA
AGACUAGCAUCCUGGAGACCUAAUGUAGCCACUGAACUGGUGCAAUAAUCAGCCACAGAAGUGCAAGCUUCUCCCACACGACCCUGCCUGUGUGCCUUCACCCUGACCUGUAGAGACUCUGCAUCUCUAGUCAUGAGAGCAGAGCUCAGUCUCCAUUGCCAAUUCAUUUUUUGGUCUCU